ensembl:lncRNA
UGAGAAGUGAAUAUGAAGUAUGUUUACUUCAGAAUUGUUUAAUUGGCAUAGCUAUACCAGCAGAAUGCUUAAGGCAAGACCCAGUUCUAGGGAAGAUGCUUGCCAGCCGAGCAGAACCUACUUUAUCUGGAAGCGGGUGGAUCACAGUAUUCCAGAAAGCUGCAUGCUAGCACUUUUGGAAAGACAGGAGUGUCUACUAACUAUGAUUAAAUGAGCUUAAUCAGGUCCUGGUUGAACUUGAACCAGCAGCGUGCUCUUGCAACAAAGAAGGCUAAAUGGUAACCUGGUCUGCACUGGAUGAAGUAUUGCCUAUGAGUCAUGGGAACUGAUGCACUGGGAAGGCCACACCUGAAGUGCUGUGUCCAGUUCUGGGGCCUUCAGUACGAGAGAGACCUGGACAUGCUGGAAAAAGUCCAGCAGAGUGCCACCAAGAUGAUGAAGGACCUGGAGCGCCUCUCCUGUGAGGAGACGCUGAGAGAACUGGUCCUGUUCAGCCUGGAGAAGAGGAGAAUCAGAGGGAUCUCAUUGGUAUCCAUUAAUACCUAAAGAGAGGGUGCAAACAGGGCAGUGCCAGGGUCCUUAAAAUGUUGCCUAUGCCAGGACAAGAGCCAGUGUGCACAAUCUGUAACACAGGAGGGUCCUCUGAGCAUCAUGAAGCAUUUCUUCACUGGGUGGGUGGCUUAAGCAUUGGCGCAGGUUGAUUAGAGAGGUGAUGGAUUUUUCCCUUGUUGGAGUCUUCAGAAGCCACCUGGGUGUGGGCCUGGGCACCCUGCUCUGGGUGGCCCCGCUUGAACACGGUUUGGAUCAGAUGGACCCAGAGGUCCCUGCCAACCUCAGCCAUUCUGUGAAAUCAUGCUUAACACCUUCACACAGUACUUGUAGAAAUAAUGGAAUGCAGGGUUCUAUUGAUCUCCUUUUCUUCUUUCUUUUUUUGUUCCUUCACAUGCUGCUUUUCAUUUCCAUGCUAAAAUGACAGCUCCUAAUUUAUGAGUAGCUUGGAAUCCCAUCCUUUGGAAAUUGUAGAUACAUUUUUCUGUUGCUAUGUCAGUGUUGCUAUUUGCCAAUUUCCUAAUCUUGCGCGCAGGACAAAUGACUGGGAACUACUUAGGACUUUCUUGUAUUUUGUUUCCAAUCAGUAGAUGGGGACUGCUUUUGAAAGGAUCUAUUAGUCUCCCCUUAAAGCAGCAGAGCCCCCAGGAAAUCAAAAUUUUCCCCAUUUAUUUUCACAAUUUUGCAAAAGAACGUCCUAUCUUCAGGCCCCAGAAAACCUUGCUAAUGUACAGUUCUGCAUGCAAAUCAGGUACAGAUUCUCUUUCAGUUACAGUAGUCAUCGAGCUAUCAUGCAGGGUGGAAAAGAGAAUAACUUGUAACUGAUACACUGAAUUAAACAUAAUUCCAGUGGGGAGAGUGAUAACCUUUUCAUGGGUGGAAAAAAAGGUAAACAUGGUUCAGUUUUGAUCUUUCUCUAUAGUAUGUUUUAGGAUCUAAUAUUGUUGCGGUGACAAAACUCCUGUCAUGUCUAAACACAAUUACUGAUGUAUUCAAUAACUUUAGGUGGAAAAGUAGAUCUGGCAUCUCCAUUUGCAUAUUUGGACUAUUGUCAAUAAAUAUCAUUAGCAAUUGCUUUUGAGCACAGUAAUGUAUUAGGAUGAUUGAAGCUGACUUGUAAGUAAAUAUUUGGUAGUGGUGUCUGGAGAUACAGCAGCAGCUUUCUACUUGUUCACAGAGAC